AUGGAGACAUAGUGGAGGUUUAUCAAGGGAGACAGGGUUGGUGCAUGGUUGUCGUCAGCUCGUGUCGUGAGAUGUUGGGUUAAGUCCCGCAACGAGCGCAACCCUUUGUCCUUAGUUGCCAGCAUUCAGUUGGGCACUCUAAGGAGACUGCCGGUGUCAAACCGGAGGAAGGUGGGGAUGACGUCAAGUCCUCAUGGCCCUUAUGUCCAGGGCUACACACGUGCUACAAUGGCCGGUACAAAGGGGCGCAAGACCGCGAGGUGGAGCAAAUCCCAAAAAACCGGUCUCAGUUCGGAUUGGAGUCUGCAACUCGACUCCAUGAAGUUGGAAUCGCUAGUAAUCGCGUAUCAGCAUGACGCGGUGAAUACGUUCCCGGGCCUU
rnacentral:rRNA from 1 species